ACGCUCGACACCUACGGAGGCAGCAGUGGGGAAUAUUGCACAAUGGGGGAAACCCUGAUGCAGCGACGCCGCGUGAGCGAAGAAGUAUUUCGGUAUGUAAAGCUCUAUCAGCAGGGAAGAAACUGACGGUACCUGACUAAGAAGCACCGGCUAAAUACGUGCCAGCAGCCACGGUAAUCUGAGCGGGCUGGCAAGGC
rnacentral:rRNA from 1 species